AUGAACGCUGGCGGCGUGCCUAAUACAUGCAAGUCGAGCGAACAGACGAGGAGCUUGCUCCUCUGACGUUAGCGGCGGACGGGUGAGUAACACGUGGAUAACCUACCUAUAAGACUGGGAUAACUUCGGGAAACCGGAGCUAAUACCGGAUAAUAUAUUGAACCGCAUGGUUCAAUAGUGAAAGACGGUUUUGCUGUCACUUAUAGAUGGAUCCGCGCCGCAUUAGCUAGUUGGUAAGGUAACGGCUUACCAAGGCAACGAUGCGUAGCCGACCUGAGAGGGUGAUGAGACACCUUGGAAGUGACACACGAGGCGGACUGCUACGGGAGGGACCAGUGGGGUAUGUGGGUGAAUGGUAGAGAGUAUGAAGCAGUAAUGACGCAGGAAAGAUAAAGGUGUAAGGAACGUAAGACUCUGUUAUCAGUGACAAACAAGUGUGCAAGUAACAACGCGCGGCAAGACGGUGCCUAAGAAGAAGGCCGGGGAUAACUACGUG
rnacentral:rRNA from 1 species